UGCAGCCUUUUGCACUAAAGUCAUGCAAACACUUCAAAACGCUCACGUGGCAACUGAAUUUUUCAAAGGCCUGCAAUAAAGUAACCGUUGGUUGAGGAGUAAAGCCACAGUAAAGCCAUUUACUCCUGAACACAGAACAAAGGCUUCACGUGCUCCUUUGUUCGGGCCUCUCUUCACCAUUUUCAUCUACCAACAGACGGGAAAGACAGCUGCAAUCUAAUCCAGCCUGCAGAGAUGUCCGGCAAACAACCAGAUUGACUGCGUUUUGAAUCUCUGGGACGCAUUUCACCCUGCUGCGGUCGAGACUUCCAACACCCAAGCGGAAUUGGGUGCUCCGAGGCCAUUCCACUUUCUCCCUAUCUACAACGGCAGCUGCUGCCAUUCCGGUUGUUCUGAGGCUGUUCUCUCUUCGGUUAUGACCGCUGAGAAGAGGAAGAAGCCUUCUUGCGAUUCCUCACCUGUUAGCUGUACGUCCGAUUGCUCUACCCGUUCGUCAACUGCAUCCAACAACUACAUCAACUGCCUUUCCAUCUACUUUG